rnacentral:rRNA from 1 species
UACGUAGGUGGCAAGCGUUGUCCGGAAUUAUUGGGCGUAAAGCGCGCGCAGGUGGUUCUUUAAGUCUGAUGUGAAAGCCCACGGCUCAACCGUGGAGGGUCAUUGGAAACUGGGGAACUUGAGUGCAGAAGAGGAAAGUGGAAUUCCAAGUGUAGCGGUGAAAUGCGUAGAGAUUUGGAGGAACACCAGUGGCGAAGGCGACUUUCUGGUCUGUAACUGACACUGAGGCGCGAAAGCGAGGGGAGCAAACAGG